GUUCUAUACUUGGAAGUUGCCUCUCUUGGAGUGUUCAGUGAGCCUUCAUCCUCUGAAAGUGACCGCAGCAGACUGUUGUGUGCGCGGUGCCAAAGGCGGUGUUAUGUCUCCUGCAGAAGACAAAGUCCCAGCCCAUGCAUCUCGUGAUUCCACUUUCAAAUCCCAUUAUUCACCUCCGCCUCUGUUCUGCUGCGCCGUAUUCGAGAUAUGUGCAAGCUAUGCAUCCUGUGUGCCAGGAAGAUGUUUCAGUUUGUUAUCUUUAUGAAUGACCGCAUUAUUUGUUUGGAAUACACCAAAUGCCAACAAGCACCCCUGCAAGCAGAAAGCAAAACCUCAAGCAAACAAUGUGACACUAAUCUGUUGUUUGUGCUAAAAUACAGAAAGGAAAUGACUGCUUGGCUGUCAGCAGCUCAUAAAGGAAAGAAAGAAAAAUGCCACCAAAGAGGAAUAAGCUCCAAAAGAAAGUUCCAUUAUCAGUUUGUUUCAUGCCUUGUAGCUCCAGCUGCAAACAAUCCCUUUCAUAAAGACACCCUGAAGAUAAAUGGCAGCGAGGUGCUGGUGGUGUCGGGGAGAUAAAGCCGUGGGUCCCCUCUUCUGGGGGAGGGGAGAGCUCUGCUUUAUUUUCUUCCAUCUCAUCACCAUCUUGGGGGAGAGAAUGAAUAUGUAUCGUCUGUUAUCUUGUCAUUUUUGAGCCAAACAUCUUAAAAUACAUUUUCUCUGAAAUAACCUCAGGGAUUUCAAGACUGGAAUAAAUUAUUAGAGCAAUUUGAGAUUGGAGGCCCUGUAUCUGCUUUAAACAUGGGAAACACUGUUCCUAGGGUAUGAGACUUGGCUGUUUGCUAACAAACCAAGGCUAAAAUACCCGAAGAAACAAAAAGCAUCACGACACACAGUGCUCCUGUCUGAGCAGGUACGUGCUGAGACCUAAAGGGCAUGUGGUAAUGGGAGCAUUUAGUGCCUCCUGGGGUCUCGAGCUGCAGAUAAUUACAGAGCCCCAUGUUGAAGCCACCCGCUCUGAGUGCUGCCCUGCCCUGAGUUGCUGCUGGGAGGCACUGGGCUGCAGCCUGCUUUGGUUUUGGCCUUGUUGGCUCCAUCGCACACCGCCGUCACAGGAGAAAUUGGUUCCUCAAAUUGGGUGCUGUUUAAAAACAUCAGAACCCAGAUCAUGUCAGAUUCUCAGGAAACAUUCACAGAGUAAAUGUGGAGUCCUGGAGAGAAAAACCUUAUUCCUGAUUUCCACAUAAUGGAGCUGCAGUGUAGAAAUGCUCUGUGCUGAGUAACUGGGGAAGUAGAGCCCAAAAUAUAAUGCAAGGUUUUUUCAGAGUGAAUGUCUCUCUCCCGCACCCAUAGCAAGAACAAAAGCUUAAUUUCUGUCAGUGUGAGCUCAGGUUUGCACAGGUCCCACCUGUGGAGGUUUCUUGGUGCAGGAAAUGUGUUGGUCCCUCAUCAAGGACCCACCACGACAUUGGGUGGUAAAAGCUGAAAAAGCACUUUUCUUUUCUCCUGUCUUAAGACUUGGCUUUGAUUGCUAGGAAGUCAAUGAGUUUCUGUGUGCAGGAGCAGGGCUGUCAGCUCUGGAGGGCUGUGUUUGUUUGGGCCCUUGGAGGAAGGAGCAGUGCUGGGGCAGAGUUGCAACCUGCUGGUCCUGGAGCUGCGGGGCUGCUCAGCUCCCAUUGCUGCACCCACUGCUCUCCCAGCCAGCACAGACCGCUGUCCUGCAGGCACCUCCAGCUGCUCACAGCCCUCUGAGCCGUGCAGGGCAUUGGAAAUCAUUGCUCCAUCCCUCCAGACUGGUGUGGAAAUUUGAAGGCUAUCUGAAAUCAAUAUCAUCAUCAACUUCACCCACGUUUACAAAGAUAAUAUUUCCAUAAUGUUGUCUGACUUCAAACGGAAGAAGUAAAGCUUUGCAACAGAAAAAGUCAUAAAAGGUAUUGCAGCGAAGCAGCAUUAAAUUUCAGAAAACUUUUCCAAGACCAUUAAUUGAACUUUGUUACAAGAUUUAAACAAGAUAUUGAAAAUCCAACACUGCGGCCCAGUUUUAAUUGCCU
ensembl:lncRNA